UACGGAGGGUGCGAGCGUUGUCCGGAAUCACUGGGCGUAAAGGGCGCGUAGGUGGUUUGCUAAGCGUGUGGUGAAAGCUCGGGGCUCAACUCCGAGUCGGCCAUGCGAACUGGCGAACUUGAGCACUGUAGAGGCAGAUGGAAUUCCGGGUGUAGCGGUGGAAUGCGUAGAGAUCCGGAAGAACACCGGUGGCGAAGGCGGUCUGCUGGGCAGUGGCUGACACUGAGGCGCGACAGCGUGGGGAGCAAACAGG
rnacentral:rRNA from 1 species